UUAACAUCCGAAACAAUGAAUAAAUGCUUUCGCUUCUCCGAAUCAAUAUAUCGCUUGAUAUAUUAAAAUGAUAUUAAUAAACCACAUAACUGGUCGCUGAUAGACACAUUUAUUCUUCCGAAGAAUGCAAUAUGCACAUUAUUGCUGAUGUUUUACAUAAUAUCGCAUACGUGCACACUCUCGUAGAUUCACAACUCAAACCACAAAACUGUCAAGACCUAUUAUAUCACAAGUGCAAAAGUGAAAGCCGUCAAACUCAUUACCGGGAUCACAUUUUCCUGCGUAAUCUUCGCGUGUUAUCAGAACUGAACCGAGUAGAAAAAAAAAAAAAAAAGAACGAACCUAGGAAAUGCGAAACAAUAUAUCAAAUGGGCGUGCGAUUGGUUAAUAACAGCGUGUUCGUUGUAAAUGACUGGCAACGACGGUUGGUAAUUAGACCUUAGACCGGCACUUUCCUGGUAGAUACACGAGAGAGAUUGGCCAGUUAGAAAUACGCGAAAUCUCGUCUCGAUAACGCCGGUGAACCCUGAUGAACGCUGAUGAACACUGGUUCCCUAUGGUUCUGUAAUAAGCUACCGAUCUACCGCUACCUUCGCCAGUUUAUUCGUCUUCACGCGCCGUCGUAUAAUUACGGAGAAAGUACGCGAAGGAUGUUUCCAGUACGUUUUAUUACUGCGAAAGAGAAGAUUCGUACCCCUACUCGCGUUGCGCAACUCGUUGCACGACAAUUUUAUGAAGUGGCAGAGAGAUAACGGCGCCACAUGGUAUAUUGCGGGGUGAAAGAUCAGUCCUGUGCGAAGGAAUAUAUCCACGGAUUAUCUAAUAAUAAAUUGGAAACCGAUUGGAAAGAUCUCAUUAACUUAGGUGAUGGGCGAUACAUAAUCCUAAUCGAUUUAAGCGGGUCAUUCCACGGUACGUUAUGAUAGAAACCGAAUGUUCGCGUGAAUCAGAUCUGAAAUAUAAAUUUAAACAGAAUGUUUAAGAAUACAUAGAAUACAGAGAUCUAAGAUAAAAAUACUUUUACCGCCCACGAAAAAUAUAUCUGUCCAGAAAUUAAUACGCCACGGUAUAUACGAUAGUCCUCGACUCGUGACAGAUACAUCCAAAUAAAAAAUAACACCGCACCAAAAAAACAUUCCUCGGUUUCUUUACUCCGUAAAAGUCCUUUCACAGUUGGGCGGAUCCUGAACUUUCGGACCUAACCGCGUAUGAUAAUCGCCUUUCUGUUUAAGAUACCCCGACCGAAGCAUCCCCGACAGAUGAAAUCCGGUUUGAAAAAGGAACGAACCAUCCAACGGACGCCUAUGUUCUUCUAAAAAGCUAUUUUCAGGCCUCUCGUAAUUACAGACCUUCCGACAUCGGCCCUGAACUAUAAUGCACGCGGUGUGCCAAAUUCCUCCUGGCAGAAUGUUUCAAAAACGCGCCAGCCGCGUAUAAAUCUUCCCCGAGGAGAAGGAAGAAUCGAAGGGACCCCAUAGAAGUCGUCAAGCAUGGACGACGACCAGUUUAUCUAACGCGUCCUGCCAGCUGCUACGCGUCGAAAUUUAUCGGAUUUAUCCAGCGUCGCGUCGCCUUUUAGAUUCGACUCGGAUAGGACGAUACUUACAAGACUCACGAGGGAAUGGAAGAAGCUUACGAAACAUAUUGGGUGACCGGGGGUCUGGUCCUUAAAUAACACCACAAUCCUACACUCUUUUUUUUUUUUUUUUAAAUAUUUCAGGUUCUCCAAUUAUGUUAUGCCGUCAGUGGACGCGAUAAAUUGUGAGCUUAUUUUCUUUGUGACUACGCCUAUGAGAUGGAGCUCUUUUAGUCGUGUUUGAAUUUUUAUGAAGCGUUUCCUAGGUGGAAUUUUGUUUGGACGGGAAUAUUAGAUCGUUCAAAUAAUGGGAAGAUAAUGAAUCACGGUACCUUCGUAAAUAUUAAAGAAUCUGACGUCACCGAAUAAUAAAGUAGUCACCCAAGUAUUGAAGAUGAAAAUAUAGUGUACGUCUAUUUAACCCCACGCACCUAUCACAACGCACGACUAUAUAUAGUUAUGUAUACAUGUACAUAUAAAGUCGUGUGCAAAUAACGAAUCGUGUCUAUUAACGGAAUUGUGGAAUGCCCGAGGGUAUUCCCGACGGUGCACCGUGCCAAGAGAUUUUGCAAACGAGCUGCGCAUGCAUACUCGCGCCAUAAAGGAAGUAUAAAAGGAAACGCUUCAAUGGCAUUUACAACCAUGAAAUUUACGAUUCGUCGGUGUUCGCGGCGUGCUUUCGUUUGCGCAGCAUUGCUGGUGGUACUUUGGUCCGAUAUUCCCGAUAGAACCGCGGAGCUUUCUAAAUUGACGUAAUACUUUAUCCUGUCGGAGAUUUAUGACGGAACGCUUGAGGUAGCAAGUCCUGAAAGAUUAGUUUCCUGCGGUACAGGAGAAUUUUCACGAGUAAAGUGUACCGUUUGACGCCUUUUAAAAAGGAUAUUUUUAGCGGAUCACUGUCCUUGGAGCAAUAUUUCAUAAAUUGUUUCAAUCGUUGCAUUUUAUAAUAUAUUUCAAAUGAAUAUUUUACUUGUAAAAGCUAAAUUGAAACUGAAAACGUAGAUAUAAAAGUUCCAAAAUUACUUAAAAAUUUACCUUAAAAGUCACGUUCAAGAAAAUUCGAGAAGCGAGAUAUCGAUCAAGAUAUCUUAUCGACGACCUUAAAUGCUCGACCUGUCGCGAAGCUCGGAGUUCAUCAUUCCACGAAUCGAAAAACCCGUCCGAGCUUCCUUGGAAGCGCGCGCAUAAUGUCUGCGCGUUUCCAUAAUCUCAGCUGCGCACGUGGAAACGGUUCGAAAAGGGCAUAGACAGGGAACCGCUGCGCAUUUCUGCCUUGGUCACCAAUAAAUAUCGAACUUUCAUUUGCAGAUACCGUGGCUGCGUUCGGUGCAGCGCUGCAUUUCACUGGAUUGCCUUAUGCAGACAAAAGGUCCGCCACCGUCGGACACCAUACGUUGAUACUGUUCCCCGUGGUAAAAAGCUGAGGCUAAGAGCUAUUGACACGAGGUGAAAGAUCCGUUCUUUAACCGUCCGACGAUAACAAUUCAUCUCUUAAUCGGAAAUGUUCGUGUUCGCUGAGCAUUAGGGUGGUUCUUAUUUUAACGAUUAUCGAUAUCUAUGUUACGCACCCCCUAAAUACCUUGCAAAUAGAUAAAUCAGUUGCGUAUACAAAAAUUCCUGCAAAGGUCUUAAUUAAUUAAUUUAAGCUCUAAAUUAUCUAUUGUAGUUCAACACAUUAUAUUCUGAUUUAAGACAAGGUUUUACGCGAAGUCCUCUAAAAAGCUUCUAUAAUGUAUUAAUUAAUUAUUUUAGAGAACGCACGAAGCUGAACGUGGUUGCUUCGAAUAGAAUGUAAUAUUACGAAUAUAAGAUUUGGAAAAUCUAUUGGGAAAAAUUGAAGGCAAAAACCACCCUUACUCAUACUUAUCCAUUGUUAAGAAAUGAAAUAAUCAUAUUUUCUGAUAAGUGUAAGUAAUUCUAAUCAGAUCUAUAAGAUGGAGGUUCACCAUCAAAUAUAUUAAAGGAAGCUGACAUUCUCAACUACUAAGACUUUAUA